AGAGUUUGAUCAUGGCUCAGAUUGAACGCUGGCGGCAUGCCUUACACAUGCAAGUCGAACGGCAGCACGGGAGCAAUCCUGGUGGCGAGUGGCGAACGGGUGAGUAAUAUAUCGGAACGUGCCCAGUCGUGGGGGAUAACGCAGCGAAAGCUGUGCUAAUACCGCAUACGAUCUCUGGAUGAAAGCGGGGGACCGUAAGGCCUCGCGCGAUUGGAGCGGCCGAUAUCAGAUUAGCUAGUUGGUGGGGUAAAAGCCCACCAAGGCGACGAUCUGUAGCUGGUCUGAGAGGACGACCAGCCACGCUGGAACUGAGACACGGUCCAGACUCCUACGGGAGGCAGCAGUGGGGAAUUUUGGACAAUGGGCGCAAGCCUGAUCCAGCAAUGCCGCGUGCAGGAUGAAGGCCUUCGGGUUGUAAACUGCUUUUGUACGGAGCGAAACGGCUCACUCUAAUACGGUGGGCUAAUGACGGUACCGUAAGAAUAAGCACCGGCUAACUACGUGCCAGCAGCCGCGGUAAUACGUAGGGUGCGAGCGUUAAUCGGAAUUACUGGGCGUAAAGCGUGCGCAGGCGGUGAUGUAAGACAGAUGUGAAAUCCCCGGGCUCAACCUGGGACCUGCAUUUGUGACUGCAUCGCUAGAGUACGGUAGAGGGGGAUGGAAUUCCGCGUG
rnacentral:rRNA from 1 species